AUUGAACGCUGGCGGCAGGCCUAACACAUGCAAGUCGAGCGAGCGGCGGACGGGUGAGUAAUGUAUGGGACACUGCCCGAUGGAGGGGGAUAACUACUAGAAACGGUAGCUAAUACCGCAUACCAUCGGAUGUGCCCAGAUGGGAUUAGCUAGUAGGUGGGGUAACGGCUCACCUAGGCGACGAUCCCUAGCUGGUCUGAGAGGAUGACCAGCAACACUGGAAAUGAGACACGGGCCAGACUCCUACGGGAGGCAGCAGUGGGGAAUAUUGCACAAUGGGCGCAAGCCUGAUGCAGCCAUGCCGCGUGUAUGAAGAAGGCCAUCGGUUUGUAAAGUACUUUCAGCGAGGAGGCGUUACUCGCAGAAGAAGCACCGGCUAACGCCGUGCCAGCAGCCGCGGUAAUAC
rnacentral:rRNA from 1 species